UACUAGUCUAGUAGUUGAACAGUUUCACUGCCUGAAAUACCAUGGACUGGGCCAGUGUGAGGGAGUGGACCGGUUUUGACCUCUUUGGUGGAUUCAAGAAGGGACACAUAACAUAUAUGCCAUCAACAAUUUAUCUGAAUUGCUGUCUAGCUGGUUUCUCUGUCAGUCCCACAAUGUCUUUGCUCCCCCCGUCCUCUGAGCAGCUCUCCGGGAUCUCGGCCACACUAGCCUGCCUGCUGAGCGGCUACUCCCCCCAGGGGGCGAUGGUGAGCUGGGAGGAGGACGAGGCAGAUGUGAUGGAGGGGGUCCUGACCACCACAGAAGAGAAGGGAGGUCGCUACAGCCGCAGUAGCACCCUAAUCCUGAGCAAGGCACGCUGGGAAGAGGGAGAGGUGUACACCUGCAGGGUCACCCACAACGACACCAGUGAUUCGGCCAAUUUACAGAGAAGUCACUGUAGUGUCUAGAACCCAUUGUAGGAGGCUAGAGUCCCCACAUGGUGUUAGUGAAGGAAACAGUGUUUUAGAGCUGGAUGUUAAAGUAUAAUAGUGAAUAAUAUCAGUAGUGCUAUAUGCUAAAGGAACUAUUUUGAGAUUAAGUUGUGCAUGUCUUCUUGCCUCUGGGUUGAAAUAAAGCUUGUUUUGUUUGAAAUAUAA